AUCGCAGGGGAAGGCACUAGAAUUAGAGACUGGGGAAGGCCUUGGGUAGGAGAAGUGAUCUUAAUUAGGGCUUGAAGGAAGCCAGGGAAGCCUGGAGGCAGAGAUGAGGAGGGACAGUCAAGGAAAAUGCCAGAGCUGGAAGGGGAAGGGACACACCAGGAACAAGGAGGCUGAGUGGAAGAAAAAGGCAUUAUCCUGCAUUGGAGAGAGGAAGGACCUUCAUCAGGAAGUUUUGUACCUCACUGAAGCCACAGGUGUAGCCCCCAAACCAUCCCCAGUAACAGCCGAUUGAGCAUCAGACCCUGGCCAAGUCACUUUCCCUGUCUGGUCUCAGUUUCCUCAUCUAUGAAACAAGAUGGGUUGGAUAAAAUUAAUUCUAAGUU